rnacentral:rRNA from 1 species
GACGAACCGUGCAAGCGUUGUUCGGAAUCACUGGGCUUAAAGGGCGCGUAGGCGGCCACGCCAGUCUGGGGUGAAAUCUUUCGGCUCAACCGGAAAAUUGCCUGGGAUACUGCGUGGCUCGAGGGAGGUAGGGGUCUGUGGAACUUCUGGUGGAGCGGUGAAAUGCGUUGAUAUCAGAAGGAACGCCGGUGGCGAAAGCGACGGACUGGAUCUCUUCUGACGCUGAUGCGCGAAAGCCAGGGGAGCAAACGGG